ACAGAGGCGGCAAGCGUUGUUCGGAAUUAUUGGGCGUAAAGAGCAUGUAGGCGGCUAUGUAAGUCGGUAGUGAAAGCCUUCCGCUUAACGGAAGAAUGGCGGUUGAAACUGCAUGGCUUGAGUGCGGGAGGGGAGAGUGGAAUUUCCGGUGGAGCGGUGAAAUGCGUAGAUAUCAGAGGGAACAUCGGCGGCGAAAGCGACUCUCUGGCCCGUAACUGACGCUGAGGUGCGAAAGCUAGGGGAGCAAACGG
rnacentral:rRNA from 1 species